AAGCGUAGGUGAUGAGCUUGAAUCAGGGCAUGGACUGGAACUCCCAAUACCCCUGACAUGGGCUGAGUCAACGUGGUCAUGAACAUGUGACAGGAGGCAGCAGAAGUUGCAGAGAAGAGUGAGGCACGUUUGAAAAAGGCUGAAAAAUGUUUCUGUCCAGGCAAGGGUGUGUGCUGAAUGACUCAAGGAUUUUUUGGUGCAUUGAAUGAACAGCGGGACAUUGGACACCUGCUGAUCCAUCACCCCGGGCCCGGGCAGGCCCGUGGAUGAAGAGAGAUGGAGAAGACCAGGCAUGAGACUGUGGAGAAGCCACACCACCAGAAACCCCUGCCCCAUGCGCCGUCCAGCCCACACCUGUGGAUGCACGGGGGAUUGCAGGCAGGGCUCCCACCGUGGACUCAGGAACAGGCAGGGAAGCUGCUGCCUCACCAGGCGAAGGGGCCAGGAGGGGGAGGCGGAGAGGCCCGUCUAGCCCCUGCGGCUGUCACCGUGGUGCCUCCUCACUGGCCAGUGCGGUCGCGCCUCAGCUUCGUUAAUAGGGGAGGGGGCCUAAGAGUUUUCACGUCCAGGCUCGGGCAGUGGGGAGGCAGGCAGGAGUGGCCGCUGGUUUUUCAGACCUCCCAGGGAGGCCGAGGAAAUGGCCCGUCCUGGAGUGGGCGUGGUUCUGUCUUCAGAUGGAUGCUGGAGGGUUGGGCUGCGUGGGACCCUGGGCCCUGCUGCUUCCCGGAGGAUGCGCUGUCCGGG
rnacentral:lncRNA from 1 species